AUUAUUUUGGAGUAUAAAACUAUAAAUUAUCACUUCCUUUCUCUUUUUCGGUUUGCUAACCUUUUGUUUCCUCUCUCUCCUCUCACUGUUUCUCUCCGUUUUUUUUCUCGCCGGGAAACCUUUUCCGUUCGCCGGAAAACCGUUUUUGAUUUUUUCGUCCUUUUUCCUCGCCGUUGUGGGAAGCUCGUCACGGUGUUCCGAUUGAAACGCUUGCAUUCACUCUCAAUUUCCCGUGGUUGCUCCUACCAGGCGUUGGAUCUCUCCGUUACGCGGUAUAAGUCUCGUAUACGGCGUUGUUCGGGAAUGUGGCGAGCCUUGUUGUCUUAUAAGGCUAGCUUUUAA